rnacentral:rRNA from 1 species
UACAGAGGUCCCGAGCGUUGUUCGGAUUCACUGGGCGUAAAGAGCGCGCAGGCGGCUGGUCAAGUCCGAUGUGAAAUCUCCCGGCUCAACUGGGAAACUGCAUCGGAAACUGAUCGGCUUGAAGAUGGGAGAGGGUAGUGGAAUUCCCGGUGUAGUGGUGAAAUGCGUAGAUAUCGGGAGGAACACCAGUGGCGAAGGCGACUACCUGGCCCAUUCUUGACGCUGAGGCGCGAAAGCUAGGGGAGCGAACGGG